AUUACAUGGACUGCCAACUCUACGCACUAAGCCUAUAUUUUUCAAUAAACAAGUCCCGUUCACGGAGGCGUCCUUGGUUGCGUGGUAAAUUGACUUCCGGUAGAUUUUUUUUUACGUAUAAAGAAACCAUUCCAGAAGAUUUUUACCACCACUUUUACAGCAAAUCAUGAAUGGAAACUGAAUUGUUAAAGAAGAUGUUACAGAGAGCAUACUACUUCCACAAACCUGAUUUGAUUGUCACUAACUUUCAAAUUGAAAGGGAUCUACUACAACUGCUCAUGAAUUUCGAGAUUUUACAGCUAAUAGAGGAACAAAUUUUAUCUGCUUCCACUUAGCCAAACAGCAUGGAAAUAUGCUAUUGUAAUGAGUAGAAGAUAUUUGUCAUUUAGAGUAUCAUGCAACAGCUAAUUAUC